UCCAUGACAUUAAUCUAAAAGCAAGAAGCUUUUGCCACUCAGAAGCUUCUCACUUGGUCUUGGCAAUCCUUUUUUUCUUAUUGCCAAUUCUGGUUCUCUUCCUCUGCAAAGUCAAGGGAGUCGCCAGCCUCUAAAUGUUCGCUACAUUUGGAGCUACGUUAGAUAUGUUUUAUAAGUUCUGUAUGUUGGGAUUCUGUCCAACAACACUGGGCAUGGCAGACUGGAUGCAUCUCCAAUGAUGAAAGCUUCUAUCGAAAAUAUCUUAAUUGAAUUCUUCCAAAAGAUAGGACAAUCUAACAUAUUUCCCUUCUUUGUAAGUUGCAUAACCAUACACUUGCUAAGAAUUAAUCGCAAUUACACAAUAUGUCACAAGAUAAAUUCACUUGCAAGUCAAAAGCGGCUUCUGAAAGAUCAUCCAAAAGAAUUUAGAUUGAUGCAUCAAAAUAUAGGACUCACCCUCCGCACCCAACUCGCCUAAUUUGAGGUAGCCUUCUGGUUGUAGACCUCAC
rnacentral:lncRNA from 1 species